GUUGGUGAUGGAAUACUAUUGUGAUGAAAAGAAUAAUAAACUGGAGAAAUUCCAUGUGAACUGGAAUGACCUCCAGGAAUUGAUGUAGAGUAAAAGGAGCAGAACCAAGAAAACAUUGUACACAGAGACGGAUACACUGUGGCACAAUCAUGAUUCCAGUGCUAAGCUGAGUUGAUCCAUGCUGUGCUUGACUAAUGGCACACGAGGCAUGACAUCUGAGCUACAUUGUAUGAUGCCCUGGGGACUUCUCUGAUUCUAUGCUUCCAGGUUGUUCCUCUGAUCACCUGAACUUACUCCUCAACAGCAACGUUUUUCAUAAAAGAAUCAUCUAUGACUUCACGUUAUUGGUAAAAAUGUUGAGCAUCAUUGGACUAAGUACAAAUCUCUGGGGAGCUCCACUGGAAUUCUCCAUUCAGGUGAAUGUUGAUUAGUUUUUAACUCUUUUGAUCCAAUUGUUUAAGCAGAUCUAGAAAACACCUGGUAUAUGUGGUAGAAACUCUGUUAAAUGCUUUUUCAGAAAAUUACAUAUACUAUUUCUGUAACGUUCCCUACUCAUCUAAAAUUGAUGUCAGAGUUCAGGAAGGAGAGGGCUUAUUGUGAACCACAUUAGAUAGUAAAACUGUCUCUGUGGAACUAGUGGAAGCCAAUCACUGGGCUCCUGAUUUCUACCUGAUACCAUGUAGCCCUCUAUAAAUGUUACUAACUUUACAACAGUAAUUCUUUAUCAAGUCGUAUUUUCUAUUAUUUUGUAAUUCAAACCUGAACAUUGGUUGACCGGUCCAUCAGGCUAACAGAGGUCAU
rnacentral:lncRNA from 1 species